UACGGAGAGGGCUAGCGUUAUUCGGAAUCAUUGGGCGUAAAGGGCGCGUAGGCGGAUUAGUAAGUUAAAAGUGAAAUCCCAAGGCUUAACCUUGGAAUUGCUUUUAAAACUGCUAGUCUAGAGAUUGAAAGAGGAUAGAGGAAUUCCUAGUGUAGAGGUGAAAUUCGUAAAUAUUAGGAGGAACACCAGUGGCGAAGGCGUCUAUCUGGUUCAAAUCUGACGCUGAGGCGCGAAGGCGUGGGGAGCAAACAGG
rnacentral:rRNA from 1 species